rnacentral:tRNA from 1 species
GGAGAGAUGGCUUAGCCGUUAAGAGCAUUGACUGUUCUUCCAGAGGUCCUGAGUUCAAUUCUCAGCCACCA